rnacentral:rRNA from 1 species
GGGGAGACUGGAAUUCCUGGUGUAGCGGUGAAAUGCGCAGAUAUCAGGAGGAACACCGGUGGCGAAGGCGGGUCUCUGGGCAGUAACUGACGCUGAGGAGCGAAAGCGUGGGGAGCGAACAGGAUUAGAUACCCUGGUAGUCCACGCCGUAAACGUUGGGCGCUAGGUGUGGGGGCCAUCCCACGGUCUCCGUGCCGCAGCUAACGCAUUAAGCGCCCCGCCUGGGGAGUACGGCCGCAAGGCUAAAACUCAAAGGAAUUGACGGGGGCCCGCACAAGCGGCGGAGCAUGUUGCUUAAUUCGAUGCAACGCGAAGAACCUUACCCAGGCUUGACAUGCACGGAAAUCUGUCAGAGAUGGCAGGUCCUUUAAAGGGUCGUGCACAGGUGGUGCAUGGUUGUCGUCAGCUCGUGUCGUGAGAUGUUGGGUUAAGUCCCGCAACGAGCGCAACCCUCGUUCUAUGUUGCCAGCACGUCAUGGUGGGGACUCAUAGGAGACUGCCGGGGUCAACUCGGAGGAAGGUGGGGAUGACGUCAAAUCAUCAUGCCCCUUAUGUCUAGGGCUGCAAACAUGCUACAAUGGCCGGUACAAAGGGCUGCGAUACCGCGAGGUGGAGCGAAUCCCAAAAAGCCGGUCUCAGUUCGGAUUGGGGUCUGCAACUCGACCCCAUGAAGUUGGAGUCGCUAGUAAUCGCAGAUCAGCAACGCUGCGGUGAAUACGUUCCCGGGCCUUGUACACACCGCCCGUCACGUCACGAAAGUCGGUAGCGCCCGAAGCCGGUGGCCCAACCCUUGUGGAGGGAGCCGUCGAAGGCGGGAUCGGCGAUUGGGACG